GAUGAACGCUGGCGGCGUGCCUAAUACAUGCAAGUCGAGCGAACAGACGAGGAGCUUGCUCCUCUGACGUUAGCGGCGGACGGGUGAGUAACACGUGGAUAACCUACCUAUAAGACUGGGAUAACUUCGGGAAACCGGAGCUAAUACCGGAUAAUAUAUUGAACCGCAUGGUUCAAUAGUGAAAGACGGUUUUGCUGUCACUUAUAGAUGGAUCCGCGCCGCAUUAGCUAGUUGGUAAGGUAACGGCUUACCAAGGCAACGAUGCGUAGCCGACCUGAGAGGGUGAUCGGCCGCACUGGAACUGAGACACGGUCCAGACUGCUACGGGAGGCCGCAGUAGGGAAUCUUACGCAAGGGGCGAAAGCCUGACGGAGCAACGCCGCGUGAGUGAUGAAGGUCUUCUGAUCGUAAAACUGUGUUAUUAGGGAAGAACAAAUGUGUAAGUAACUAUGCACGGCGUGACGGUACCGAAUCAGAAAGCCACGGCUAACUACGUG
rnacentral:rRNA from 1 species